rnacentral:rRNA from 1 species
GGGUUGUGAGGUUAAGCGACUAAGCGUACACGGUGGAUGCCCUGGCAGUCAGAGGCGAUGAAGGACGUGCUAAUCUGCGAAAAGCGUCGGUAAGGUGAUAUGAACCGUUAUAACCGGCGAUGUCCGAAUGGGGAAACCCAGUGCAAUUCGUUGCACUAUCGUUAACUGAAUACAUAGGUUAACGAGGCGAACCGGGGGAACUGAAACAUCUAAGUACCCCGAGGAAAAGAAAUCAACCGAGAUUCCCCAGUAGCGGCGAGCGAACGGGGAGCAGCCCAGAGUCUGAAUCAGCUUGUGUGUUAGUGGAACGGUCUGGAAAGUCCGACGGUACAGGGUGAUAGUCCCGUACACCAAAAUGCACAGGUUGUGAACUCGAAGAGUAGGGCGGGACACGUGGUAUCCUGUCUGAAUAUGGGGGGACCAUCCUCCAAGGCUAAAUACUCCUGACUGACCGAUAGUGAACCAGUACCGUGAGGGAAAGGCGAAAAGAACCCCGGCGAGGGGAGUGAAAAAGAACCUGAAACCGUGUACGUACAAGCAGUGGGAGCACCUUCGGGUGUGACUGCGUACCUUUUGUAUAAUGGGUCAGCGACUUAUAUUCUGUAGCAAGGUUAACCGUAUAGGGGAGCCGCAGGGAAACCGAGUCUUAACUGGGCGUUAAGUUGCAGGGUAUAGACCCGAAACCCGGUGAUCUAGCCAUGGGCAGGUUGAAGGUUGGGUAACACUAACUGGAGGACCGAACCGACUAAUGUUGAAAAAUUAGCGGAUGACUUGUGGCUGGGGGUGAAAGGCCAAUCAAACCGGGAGAUAGCUGGUUCUCCCCGAAAGCUAUUUAGGUAGCGCCUCGUGAACUCAUCUUCGGGGGUAGAGCACUGUUUCGGCUAGGGGGUCAUCCCGACUUACCAACCCGAUGCAAACUACGAAUACCGAAGAAUGUUAUCACGGGAGACACACGGCGGGUGCUAACGUCCGUCGUGAAGAGGGAAACAACCCAGACCGCCAGCUAAGGUCCCAAAGUCAUGGUUAAGUGGGAAACGAUGUGGGAAGGCACAGACAGCCAGGAUGUUGGCUUAGAAGCAGCCAUCAUUUAAAGAAAGCGUAAUAGCUCACUGGUCGAGUCGGCCUGCGCGGAAGAUGUAACGGGGCUAAACCAUGCACCGAAGCUGCGGCAGCGACACUAUGUGUUGUUGGGUAGGGGAGCGUUCUGUAAGCCUGCGAAGGUGACCUGUGAGGGUUGCUGGAGGUAUCAGAAGUGCGAAUGCUGACAUAAGUAACGAUAAAGCGGGUGAAAAGCCCGCUCGCCGGAAGACCAAGGGUUCCUGUCCAACGUUAAUCGGGGCAGGGUGAGUCGACCCCUAAGGCGAGGCCGAAAGGCGUAGUCGAUGGGAAACAGGUUAAUAUUCCUGUACUUGGUGUUACUGCGAAGGGGGGACGGAGAAGGCUAUGUUAGCCGGGCGACGGUUGUCCCGGUUUAAGCAUGUAGGCUGAUUAUCCAGGCAAAUCCGGAUAAUCAAGGCUGAGGUGUGAUGACGAGGCACUACGGUGCUGAAGUAACAAAUGCCCUGCUUCCAGGAAAAGCCUCUAAGCAUCAGGUAACAUCAAAUCGUACCCCAAACCGACACAGGUGGUCAGGUAGAGAAUACCAAGGCGCUUGAGAGAACUCGGGUGAAGGAACUAGGCAAAAUGGUGCCGUAACUUCGGGAGAAGGCACGCUGGUGUGUAGGUGAAGCCCCUGCGGGUGGAGCUGAGACCAGUCGAAGAUACCAGCUGGCUGCAACUGUUUAUUAAAAACACAGCACUGUGCAAACACGAAAGUGGACGUAUACGGUGUGACGCCUGCCCGGUGCCGGAAGGUUAAUUGAUGGGGUUAUCCGUAAGGAGAAGCUCUUGAUCGAAGCCCCGGUAAACGGCGGCCGUAACUAUAACGGUCCUAAGGUAGCGAAAUUCCUUGUCGGGUAAGUUCCGACCUGCACGAAUGGCGUAAUGAUGGCCAGGCUGUCUCCACCCGAGACUCAGUGAAAUUGAACUCGCUGUGAAGAUGCAGUGUACCCGCGGCAAGACGGAAAGACCCCGUGAACCUUUACUAUAGCUUGACACUGAACAUUGAGCCUUGAUGUGUAGGAUAGGUGGGAGGCUUUGAAGCGUGGACGCCAGUCUGCGUGGAGCCAACCUUGAAAUACCACCCUUUAAUGUUUGAUGUUCUAACGUUGGCCCCUGACCGGGGUUGCGGACAGUGUCUGGUGGGUAGUUUGACUGGGGCGGUCUCCUCCCAAAGCGUAACGGAGGAGCACGAAGGUUAGCUAAUCCUGGUCGGACAUCAGGAGGUUAGUGCAAUGGCAUAAGCUAGCUUGACUGCGAGCGUGACGGCGCGAGCAGGUGCGAAAGCAGGUCAUAGUGAUCCGGUGGUUCUGAAUGGAAGGGCCAUCGCUCAACGGAUAAAAGGUACUCCGGGGAUAACAGGCUGAUACCGCCCAAGAGUUCAUAUCGACGGCGGUGUUUGGCACCUCGAUGUCGGCUCAUCACAUCCUGGGGCUGAAGUAGGUCCCAAGGGUAUGGCUGUUCGCCAUUUAAAGUGGUACGCGAGCUGGGUUUAGAACGUCGUGAGACAGUUCGGUCCCUAUCUGCCGUGGGCGCUGGAGAAUUGAGGGGGGCUGCUCCUAGUACGAGAGGACCGGAGUGGACGCAUCACUGGUGUUCGGGUUGUCAUGCCAAUGGCACUGCCCGGUAGCUAAAUGCGGAAGAGAUAAGUGCUGAAAGCAUCUAAGCACGAAACUUGCCCCGAGAUGAGUUCUCCCUGAGACUUUAAGUCUCCUGAAGGAACGUUGAAGACGACGACGUUGAUAGGCCGGGUGUGUAAGCGCAGCGAUGCGUUGAGCUAACCGGUACUAAUGAACCGUGAGGCUUAACCUUACAACGCCGAAG